rnacentral:rRNA from 1 species
CGUCCUAACGUUGUUCGGAAUCACUGGGCUUAAAGGGCGCGUAGGCGGCCUUGAAAGUCGGGGGUGAAAUCCCACGGCCUAACCGUGGAAGUGCCUCCGAUACUGCAAGGCUCGAGGGAGGUAGGGGCAGCUGGAACUUCCGGUGGAGCGGUGAAAUGCGUUGAUAUCGGAAGGAACGCCGGUGGCGAAAGCGAGCUGCUGGACCUCUGCUGACGCUGAGGCGCGAAAGCCAGGGGAGCAAACGGG